UCGAUCGAUGCUAGUGAUGCUCUGUCGAUCGAUGCUAGUGAUGCUCUGUCGAUCGAUGCUUCGCAGCCAUCGUCGAUCCUCGUGUAAACUCGUCUUCCUCGUUUAUUUUUAUUUUUGUUUUUUUUUAUUUUUUAUUUUUUAUUUUUUAACCUACAAUAAAUAAAAACUUUAAUCAGUAACAAUCUAAACUAAACUGAAAGAAAUUACCUAAUAGUGGGUUCCCUCCCACUUAGCGCUUAUUUUCAGUCAUUAACUUGACUUUUGGAUAUCUGAUUUAGUCUGGAUGAGGAUGUGAACUUGCUCCAGAACAAGUCUCAGUGUCUUUCUUUCUCAUCUUGUUGAUGUAGUUGAUAAAAGCUCUUGCAGAAGCUUCCCCUUUGUCUCUCAGUUC
rnacentral:lncRNA from 1 species